GGCCAGACUCCUACGGGAGGCAGCAGUGGGGGAUAUUGCACAAUGGGGGAAACCCUGAUGCAGCGACGCCGCGUGGGCGAAGAAGUAUUUCGGUAUGUAAAGCCCUAUCAGCAGGGAAGAAGAAAUGACGGUACCUGAGUAAGAAGCCCCGGCUAACUACGUGCCAGCAGCCGCGGUAAUACGUAGGGGGCAAGCGUUAUCCGGAUUUACUGGGUGUAAAGGGAGCGUAGACGGAUGGAUAAGUCUGAAGUGAAAGCCCGCGGCUCAACUGCGGGACUGCUUUGGAAACUGUGCAUCUUGAGUACGGGAGGGGCAGGCGGAAUUCCUGGUGUAGCGGUGAAAUGCGUAGAUAUCAGGAGGAACACCGGUGGCGAAGGCGGCCUGCUGGACUGCAACUGACGUUGAGGCCCGAAAGCGUGGGGAGCAAACAGGAUUAGAUACCCGAGUAC
rnacentral:rRNA from 1 species